rnacentral:rRNA from 1 species
GACGAACGCUGGCGGCGUGCUUAACACAUGCAAGUCGAACGGAAAGGCCCUGCUUGCAGGGUACUCGCUUGGCGAACGGGUGAGUAACACGUGUGUGAUCUGCCCUGCACUUCGGGAUAAGCUUGCGAAUCUGGGUCUAAUACCGUAUAGCAUCCAUCUUUAGUGUGGUGGUUGGAAAGUUUUUUCGGUGUAGGCUUAGCUCGCGGCCUAUCAGCUUUUUGGUGGGGUAAUGGUCUACCAAGGCGGCGACGGGUAGCCGGCCUGAGAGGGUGUACGGCCACAUUGGGACUGAGAUACGGCCCAGACUCCUACGGGAGGCAGCAGUGGGGAAUAUUGCACAAUGGGCGAAAGCCUGAUGCAGCGACGCCGCGUGGGGGAUGAAGGCCUUCGGGUUGGAAACUCCUUUCGCUAGGGACGAAGCUUUUUGUGACGGUACCUAGAUAAGAAGCACCGGCUAACUACGUG